GAUGAACGCUGGCGGCGUGCCUAAUACAUGCAAGUCGAGCGAACGGACGAGAAGCUUGCUUUUCUGAUGUUAGCGGCGGACGGGUGAGUAACACGUGGAUAACCUACCUAUAAGACUGGGAUAACUUCGGGAAACCGGAGCUAAUACCGGAUAAUAUUUUGAACCGCAUGGUUCAAAAGUGAAAGACGGUCUUGCUGUCACUUAUAGAUGGAUCCGCGCUGCAUUAGCUAGUUGGUAAGGUAACGGCUUACCAAGGCAACGAUGCAUAGCCGACCUGAGAGGGUGAUCGGCCACACUGGAACUGAGACACGGCCCAGACUCCUACGGGAGGCAGCAGUAGGGAAUCUUCCGCAAUGGGCGAAAGCCUGACGGAGCAACGCCGCGUGAGUGAUGAAGGUCUUCGGAUCGUAAAACUCUGUUACUAGGGAAGAACAUAUGUGUAAGUAACUGUGCACAUCUUGACGGUACCUAAUCAGAAAGCCACGGCUAACUACGUG
rnacentral:rRNA from 1 species